AUUGAACGCUGGCGGCAGGCCUAACACAUGCAAGUCGAACGGUAGCACAGAGAGCUUGCUCUCGGGUGACGAGUGGCGGACGGGUGAGUAAUGUCUGGGAAACUGCCCGAUGGAGGGGGAUAACUACUGGAAACGGUAGCUAAUACCGCAUAACGUCGCAAGACCAAAGUGGGGGACCUUCGGGCCUCACACCAUCGGAUGUGCCCAGAUGGGAUUAGCUAGUAGGUGGGGUAAUGGCUCACCUAGGCGACGAUCCCUAGCGGGUCUGAGAGGAUGACCAGCCACGCUGGAACUGAGACACGGUCCAGACUCCUACGGGAGGCAGCAGUGGGGAAUAUUGCACAAUGGGCGCAAGCCUGAUGCAGCCAUGCCGCGUGUAUGAAGAAGGCCUUCGGGUUGUAAAGUACUUUCAGCGGGGAGGAAGGCGGUGAAGUUAAUAACUUCACCGAUUGACGUUACCCGCAGAAGAAGCACCGGCUAACUCCGUGCCAGCCACCGCCGUAA
rnacentral:rRNA from 1 species